CUUCCCUUUAUUUCCCAUUAGAACAGGGUUAUUAGCCUCUUUAGUACUGGAACCCCAAUGUAGCUGGGGCUUUAAUAACACUGAUCUCUGAGUGGCACAACAGUAGCUUCUUCUUAUGGGUAGGGAUACCAGCAGCAUCUCCCUCUCCAAGGAGGUUUGUUUCUAUGAUGGCUGUUGGUUAGCUCAGUGGCAAAAACUGCCAGUAUCCUCUGCAGAGCCGGCUGCUGGGGUCCAUGCCAAUAAACACUAAUGGCACCUUUGCUGUGAAGGCUAUGGUGAAUCGGCAGAUGCCAUAUGGGCUGUUGUAACCCUCAGUGGCAAAGUCUGCCAAGGUGCUCUGCAGAGAAGGCCACUGGGAACCAUGUUGGCACUCACCAUGUGGCUGGUACUGAUAUCCAUGCCAUUUUUGUUGUUGUUGUUGUUCAAGCUCCCAGCUGCGGCAUACAGCAAUGGUCACACAGUUGUAAUUGGUCAGAAAUCAGAUACAAGGGAGUCUUCUAGUAUAAACAAGCUUCCCAUGUGAGGGACACUGGUUGUGGGUUGAAAAACUAGCCAUUAGGAGGUUCCUCGUCAUCUCCAGGAGUCUCAAGGGGACAGAAUGAAGGCUCUGUCUUCUACUCCAUCAUCUUGUUGGCAUCACUCCUGGAAAAGAUAUUCCAGUGCAAAGUUGAGUGUGGAUCAUCUUUAGGGAUGUAAUCUCGACUUCCCUUCGGAGAAAAGGAGAAAUACCACAUUUGUUGGAAGCCAGUCUCCAAGAAAGGUUAUUGACUUUGCGUUACCCACAAUCCCAAUUUUCCACUUAAAUCCCUGUAUUUAGAAUUCUCAGGCUAUCUAGAGCUGUAGUUGUUCUAGAAAUUCUCACAUACAUGGCACAUAUCUACCUCUUUCCUAAGUUUGCCCUAGCUGAAGGAUCACACUCAAUAGAUUCCUGAAGAUAAACUUCUGGUAAUUGAUACCAUUGUUGGUAUACUUAGGAUGAUAGCAAGGAUCAAUAUUUCUUCAGUAAUAUAAACCUAUUAGCUUUCCUUCCUUUAGUACAUUCACUUUCCAAUCCCUGAAUAACUAUUUCAGUUACAGCAUAUGCUUUCUUUUCCAUGUUGUCUUUACAUGUCUCCUUGGUAAAUUCCUCUAAUGUUUCAUUUUGUCUCAAAAAGACAAAAAAAAAAGAUCCUAACUACUUUUAUGCAGUACCUGUGGACAAGGUAAAAUAAAGAAAUAAAUAAUCCUGCAUUUCUGUAGGGUCAAAACUAGUUUUUACAUUGGUUAUGCA
rnacentral:lncRNA from 10 species